rnacentral:lncRNA from 1 species
CUAAAUCCAUGGCCAGCCACCUCAUCUCUCUGGCGAUAUCCUUCUUCUUCUUCAUACCUCUAAAACUUUGAGCCCUAAAAUUCAAGGGUCCAUGCCAUAAGAAAUCCUAACACCACUGCUCAAAUUCUAAGACCCAUACCAUACGAAACCCUAACGAUCUACAUUAUGCAAAACAUCCACCAUGUCGCUAUGCCACAAGCUCACAAAACCCGCUUUAGAUCUCCACAUUUUGCUCACCCUACUCGAGUGCACACCGCCCCUCUCGCUUCGCCUUCUCGGGAUUUCUUGUUAGCUGAAGUUUUGUUUUCUUCCGCUAAUUCAAUCUUCGAAAGGUCUCGGAGCUCCAAGUAACUCAGUAAGCUCAGUUUUCUUCUAUUCUCUCGGAUACUUGCUUACACAUUUUUUUUUUGUGUUAAAUUUUGUUGUUUCGUUGUGUUAUAUGGAUCAAUGAGAGUCACAAACUUUGACCAGACAAUGACAAUAUUGUUUUGGAGUUUCGUUUUGUAGAUCUGUGAUGGAGUCUCAUUUUUCAGAUAUUUCCUUUCAUUUACCAUAUUUGCACAAUUGUUUUUGUCAUUAAAUUAUUUGCUUUUGAAUGUGCAAUUUUUUUUUUCGUUUUAUAUUUUCAAAUACUGUUUCCUAGAGCGAAUUAGUGGAGGAAUUUUUGGUUGAAGCAGAGGAUGGAUAACUUUUGUAUUGAUGGAUAACUUUUGUAUUUUGAACUUUGUAUGUUAUUUAUUAUUUGAACUUGAAGCUAAAAGGUGACCAAAUUUUCCAGAGGUUAGGGUUUGGUUGGCUUAUGUGAAAAUACCGAACGAAUGUGUAUUAUUCAUACUCCAAUAUUGUAGGUGGGUCAAUGCACCUCCUUGCGAUGGUUGCAGCAACGAAACUGUAGGUCAAGAUUUGGGUACC